AGAAGCAUAAUUAAAUGACUGGGCCUGUACCUGGAAUGUCCAGCAGGGGCCGCUCCACAGCAACUGCAGUGGAGAAAACAGUACAUGAAGAAGUGGCAAUUAGCUGGGUUAGCCGCUACCCACAUGGAAAACGGGAAGCAAUGCUCCUGCACCUGGAAUCUCCAGCAGGAGUUGCUUCACUACAGCUGUAGGACAGAAAAACAGAAGGAGCGUGAUUCAUUUGGAAAGGGAAAACCAAGGCUCCUGCAACUGUAAUCUCCAGCAGGAGCCGUUCUACUACAACUGUAGGACAGAAAAACAGAAGGAGCGUGACUCAUUUGGAAGGGGAAAAUCAAGGCUCCUGCAACUGUAAUCUCCAGCAGGAGCCGUUCUACUACAACUGUAGGUGAGAAAAUAGAGCCAUAUAAAGCUAGAACAGGCA